rnacentral:misc_RNA from 1 species
CCAAAACUUGUAAAUCCUUUGAUAAUACUCCCUCCACGUCAUCUUAGUUCUCCCCCUUCCCCUACUAACUUAUCACACUUCCAUAGUGGCCUACUGGGGCCUAGGGCAUUUGAUUCUCUACGUUGGACAUGACCAAACCAUUUUAAUCGAUCCUCUGUUAAGAAUAAAGCUUUUCCUUCCUGAAUGCAAUCUGAUUACCAGUCCAGUAAAAGAAUGAUGCUUCUAAUGGGGAAGAUACUUCUCGAUCUAAUGAUAUUAUCAUACCAGUGUUUACAAAUAUUUGUAUACUCAACUCAAUUCAAUUCAACUAAGCCUUUAUCCUAAAAAUUAUUGGAGUUGGCUAUAUGGAUUCUCUUUCUGCACUCUAAGAACUCUAAGCGAUUUUGGGUUAAAUCUUCAGAA